AAAUGGAUUCCUCCAGAGACUAAGACACGGGGAGCUCCGAGCACCGGGUGUUUAGCAGGGGUGGGAAUCUCUUGGCCCCUCACGAUCCGAUUCCGAUUAGGAGGUCAACGAUUCGAUUCUGAAGCGAUUAUCGAUGCGUCACAUUUUUUUUAUGUACAUUUCCAUGCGUGAUUUUCAAAAAUAUAUAUAUAUAUAUAUACAUCUGGGUUUGCUACUCAGAGUUUGAUAAUCACUUCCUACUUUUGUGAUGAUCAAUAAAGAGAUCAACAGAUGAAUUAACUUAUCCAAUAUUUCAUAAGAGAGAAAGCUUUUGUCACAAAUAUGACUCUAUGAACAAUGCCAUGAUCAAUGCAGCUUGCAUUAUAACACAAUAUGGAAGCAUGCAAAAAAUAGAUUUCAGUUUUAUUUUCUUUCUAAUCUUUCUUUUCUAUGUCAUUAAAGGAAAAGCUGCUCUUGAAUUAGAAGGAGUUCUUGUGUCUGGCUGUGAGUUUGCGCGCAUGCUAUGCGUAGGCUGAAUCGCAAUCGUGUCAAGACAAAUCAGAUUGGCCAAUACACACUGAAGAUAAAUUCAAUAAUUUUAAAAUUACAAAAAUUAUCCCUCUCUGGCGAACAGAAGGUUGCAGCAGGCAAAAAAAAAAAAAGGGGUUUUUAAUUCAGAUUAUUAAUUUAUCUGCAUCGAGACAGAAUCGUUCUAGCGAGAAUCGCGAUGCAUCGAAGAAUCGAUGAUUUUUCCCACCCCUAAGCGCUUUCCACCCCAAUGGAUUCAAUAAUCGGAAACUUGGUGUACAUGAACUGGAUCUUGCUGAUUCAAAUUUGCGGCAAAUUAUGGCAAAUUCAACAUUCCUCAGAGAAGUUUAUGCCAAUGCUAAUGAUCUUUAACUGAGAAAACAGGAAGGACGGGACACUAUCAUGUUCAGAUAACUUUAACAUUUUCUAUAUACCCGUGCAGCUGUGAACUCAUGUUUUGUAAUUUAUUGUAUGAUUUGUACUUUUAGGGUUAGGAUAAGACCUAUCAUUUAGCGUUCACCACGAAUGACUGACAAGCAGUGGCAACAUAAAAAUAUUUUUUAACCAUUCAGCGAACAAAAGUCAACAGGCUGAUUAUCAAUUAGGGGGCCACUCAAUGACAGGCAGAAGCAGACCGAAGCGUCAUCAACACGCCCACUCAUGUCUUUUAUCAGGAUGUUUUCAGGAUACCAAUGUCGGGAUAUGUCGUUCACAUAUACGGCCCGUCGGGAGAAGAGCGGGCUUAUAGCAGGAGUAACGUGUAUGUGUGAAAGCAGCUUCUUUAACUAACUAAACUAACUAGGUAACACAAUGCUCUCCCAGUUCUCCAUGCAUUAGCAUACUGCUGUUUGUUUAUGUUGUAAAGCAUACAUUAAUAUUUAUGCUUGUGUAUGUGUUUUUUCUGUGCAUGAUUAAUAAUUUAAGAAAAUAAUGCGUUUAAAGAACCCCUAUGAUGUUUUAUGUAAUUGUAAUGGGAAGAAAAAAAGAUGAUGGUACAAAAUCGGUUUUAACCCGUCCCUAAUUCAGAACGAUUAUUCAUUUUACGUGUCGCAAUGUGUUCAGACUGGAGAGUAGGGCUUUGACUUUUGCCCAAAAAUCAUAUUAAAAGUUUGUUUGUUUAUUAAUAUUAAUAUUCAAAUAUUUAUUAAUAAUAUUUUGCCCAUUAAAUGCCGUCAGUAAGACCUGGAUUGGGCUCCGCGAGGUUUGUUUACCGGCGUUGCUAUGGUUACCGGUCUUGCGUGUUCCAACGGUUUAUUAGGUUUCCAAUAAAUCGCUGUCUAAUCAAUACUUCAUUCACUGCCUCUUCCGUGGUCAUUACAAUAUUAUGAAUAGACUGCGUCGGGUUCUCCGACGUCUCUCCCUCUUGGCCUGCCCAUAACGGGUUUGAAUAUUAAGGGCUGCCUAAUAUUCGUUCGAAUUUUUAUUUAUUUUUUGACAUUCUAAUUAUAUUAGAAUAACGAAGUUCGGAGUCAAAGCUCUACUGGCGAGCAGCUGUGUUGGUGAUGGCCUGUCGGUCUCACCUUGUCCGUGACCUGGAAGAGCUCCAGGUAGCUGAAGAGUUGCUUCAUGUCGCUGAGCCCGGCGCAGGCCUGUUUACUCUGGGACAUCUUGGGGUCCUCCAGGAGGCGUACGGCUAAGUCCAUCCCCCC